UAAUUAAGCGGAGGAAAAGAAACUAACCAGGAUUCCCUCAGUAAGGGCGACUGAAGCGGGAAUAGCUCACGUUGUGAAUCAGCGCCUCGGCGCCGAAUUGUGGUCUGUAGACUCUUGCGUUACCGGCCGGGCUAAGUUCCUUGGAACAGGGCAGCUGAGAGGGUGAGACUCCCGUGUGCCCGGCCUUCGGAGCAAGUGUCGAGGAGUCGAGUUGUUUGGGAUUGCAGCUCAAAGCGGGUGGUAAAUUCCAUCUAAGGCUAAAUAUUGGUGGGAAACCGAUAGCGUACAAGUACCGUGAGGGAAAGAUGCAAAGAACUUUGAAAAGAGAGUUAAAGAGUACCUGAAAUUGCUGAAAAGGAAGCGAAGGAAACCAGUGCCUGCCGUGUCAUACUUUCCCGCCUGCUUGCGGUCGGGACGCUGUGACCGGCGUUGUCACGCUUGGUCGGAUAAUGCGGACUCCGGUGGAGGGAGUUGACCUCUGCACAUUGCGCGUUAUGUAACUGAGUUGUGACGAAAUGGUUUUCUUUCCCCCG
rnacentral:rRNA from 1 species